AUCCCAUGGUGAGGACAAGCUCUUGUAUACCCUUUCAUAUGCUCCCACGCGUUAUAUAAACUUUCUUCUUCGCCUUGCUCAAAUCUAGCUAUAUCAUUCCGUAUCUU
rfam:Arabis alpina cultivar Pajares chromosome 6, whole genome shotgun sequence.